rnacentral:rRNA from 1 species
AGUGAACGCUGGUGGUAGGCCUAACACAUGCAAGUCGAACGGCAGCACAGUAAGAGCUUGCUCUUACGGGUGGCGAGUGGCGGACGGGUGAGGAAUACAUCGUAAUCUACUUUUUCGUGGGGGAUAACGUAGGGAAACUUACGCUAAUACCGCAUACGACCUACGGGUGAAAGCAGUGGAUCUUCGGACCUUGCGCGAUUGAAUGAGCCGAUGUCGGAUUAGCUAGUUGGCGGGGUAAAGGCCCACCAAGGCGACGAUCCGUAGCCGGACUGAGAGGAUGGUCGGCCACACUGGAACUGAGACACGGUCCAGACUCCUACGGGAGGCAGCAGUGGGGAAUAUUGGACAGUGGGCGCAAGCCUGAUCCAGCCAUACCGCGUGGGUGGAGGAGGCCUUCGGGUUGUAAAGCCCUUUUGUUGGGAAAGAAAAGCAGCAGGUUAAUACCCCGCUGUUCUGACGGUACCCAAAGAAUAAGCACCGGCUAACUUCGUG